GCCCUAGAAGGAAGUGGUGAUGACUAUGUUCCCCCAACAUCUCUUAAAUCUCUAAAUCCUUACAAUUCCAAGAAAGGAAUUACAAACCCAAUUCAUCUUCUCUCUCUCUCUUCACAAACCAGUCGAAACACCCCCAUAUCACCUACAUUUCAAAAAUUUUAACAUUGUUAUUGAGGAUUCAAACUCAUUACAAGGUCUUUAUGAGUCCAUAUGGUGAUCUAGAAGUGAUUUCAAUGUGUUUCAAGCCAUAAUCAAGUCCAAUAUCACCAAAUUUUACUAAAAAUCAUUCAAGAACUUGAAGGUGCUUGAGUUCGGCUUCGGAAAUUAUGGCGUAUCUUGUGGUUGUUGAUGCAUGUUUGGUUUGAUAAUGUUUUGGACAAACUUUAAAAAAACUACUUUAUAAUACAUAUUCGAAGGAUAAAAUUGGAAAAAAAAAAUUGUACUUAAAACAUACUCAAUGCACAAUGUACAAGACUUAAAGCACCAAAAAACACAAAACAUUUACCCUUCACCCGGAUCCAUCAUCUACCGUCUAUUUUCUUUCAAUUCUUCACACGGAUCGUGAUCUGACGGAUGACUUUGUUUUCACACGGAUCCAGCUUUCCCCUUCCUUCUCUCUCAUCUCUCUCACAACUCACAUCCUCUGCUUUCUCUCUCUAUGGCGAUUGGGCGACUUCAUCAGGCCUCUCUCUCGGAUCUCGCCAGAUCUCUCACCAGAUCUGUGAGGAUUUCACCAGAUCGAUCGAUGAAGGUAACCUCCUUUUCUCUCUCUCUCUCUCUCUCUCUCUCUCUCUCUCUCUCUCUCAAAUUCAUAAACAACCUCGGGGUGCUGUACAAUCGAUUUUAGGGUUUGCCAUUUCAUAAACAACCGCGGGGUGCUGUACCACUUGAUGUGCGAGAUUGAAGGCAACCACCUCACUGCUGCCGCUAUUAUCGGUCAUGACGGCACCGUUUGGGCUCAAUCCGCUAAUUUCCCUCAGUAAGGAGUGUUGAGGAUGUCUGGAUUGCUUAUCGCGAUUGUAAGGGGGUUUAGGAUUGUUUAUUAAACCAUUUUUAUCAGCUUAUCGCGUUUCGAUAUCCAGUAAGCAGUUUUGAGGGUGUUUGGAUUGGAGAUAUGGUUCGAAUAUCGAAAAAGACAAAUGGGGCAAGAUGAUGCAAGAGGCUCUAUGCCUUCUGAUGAGGUACAUUAUUGCUUGUUUUACUACAUCUCCACCAUUAUAUAAAUUAUGACUUAAAUAUUUAUUAACAACUGUAAGCAUUUCAACACAACUCAAUUGUGUGUAUAAAAUUUUGAAAAAGAAGUUUGCAGCUUUUGAAAUUGGCAUCAUGUGUUGUACUGUUGUGCCAGUUUCCCUUUUGGCUCUUGAUGAGAUUUCAUACCGAGAGUGAGUGUUUAGCAUGUGAACUCUAAAAUAUUAUGUCUCUUCUUAUCAUAUAACUGAAUUACAUAUAAAUUUGAUUACCUUUUGUACGUGUUUUGAAAAUGGUUUGUUCAACUUGAUUGUCGAUUAACAUGUCUAAGGAAAGAUCGAUUAACUAAUUCUUAUGUAGAUUAGUUAUGGUUUUGAAUUAUAUUUUGAACCUGUUAACUUUUUGUGAGGUAAGGUAUCUGAUUAAAUGUUGGUGUAGAAGCUCCUCCUAAGGUCCAUGAAGAGACAGGAUCAUACGAAGCAAAUAUCUUUACCAGGAAAUCUAUAACUAAUUCGAGUCGGAGGACAUUUUAGUUUUAAACCGGCUCAGCAUGCGCAGCCGCAACGGCAGCGAACGCAGCUGCAUCGGCUCAGCAUGCGCAGCCGCAGCCGCAACCGCACACUGCUGCAUCGGCUCAGCAUGCGCAGCCGCACCGGCGCAGCGAGCGCAGCCGCGUCUGUAUCACCGAGCGCAACCCCAACGAGCCCGACGCAGCCGCAUCUGUAUCACCGAGCGCAACCGCAUCUUUAAUACUUACUUGUUUAUUACAGUAGGUUAACUGGCUAACCUCUUUUUUUCUUUUCAGAUAACAAGAAUCGAGUAUGUUCAUUCUAAAGGGAUAUGAAGAAGAUCAGGAGGAUAAUGAAGAAGAGGAAGGAGGACUGAGUCAAUCUGGAAAAGAGUUGAGGAAGCUGCUCGGGAAAAAUAGUGGGGUCAAUGAAUCCGAGCCAGAGCAAGAGGACGAUGACGACGAUGAUAUUGAUGACGAAAGUUCCCUGUUCUUGCACCAAAGGCUAAUAAUAACGGGGUCCAUCAAAGCUUAAUAACAACCCUCUUAAAGAGGAACCCGUCGAUAAUAGCCCCUCAAAGCCAGCAGCUGCUACAACAUCAGCUCGGGGAACCCCAUCUUCAAAUAAGUCGGCUAAGGGAAAACGAAAAAGCACCGAGAGAACAAACCGUCAAAUGGUGCCCUCACAGCUUAAAAGAAAGUCAAAACCGAAAAUGACGUGAAACAUGUAAAGGAGGAGCCUGCAAAGGCCGGUAAAGGUUCAUCAAUGUGGCCAUGAGCAUCAACCCUGAAGCGAAAAUGUAUUCAUUCCCAUCAUCAUGUGUUGGGGGAGUAGGACGAAUUGGAGCACCAAGUAGAAGAGAAGUUGGUCACUGUACACUAGCAGAACGAGCCCUAAAAUAUAGUAUAGCUGAUGAUAUUACUGAAAUUUAAUGAUGCAGGUUGCUGGCAAUGAAGAUAGAGUAACAACAUUUCAAUUUCAAAUGGAUAUAAAGGUAGGUGGAAUUAUUUUGUCAACAAUGAAUCAGGCUUUUCUGCAAGCAAAGGAAUGAUAGUGUUGUCUUGAAAAGCUACUACAGCUUGAGAAGGAAAAGGGAGAGAACAUUGCUGCUGAACUGGGCACCGUUUGAAGUUACUUGCGCAAAUUGCAAAAGACGAAUUUUGUACCGCUUCAAACCCAAGAUCCAUGGCUGAACAAUUUACAACAAUGUCAUGCAAAUGGUUUGCCAUCCUCAUGGGUCAAUAAAAGAUUCUUUUUGUUCCACCACCAGCAAGAGAUCCAAGAUUGUUUUUUUGACUUUUGUUUCGUUUACGUAUGGAUUGACUUAGAAAUUGUUGUUUGCUUUACUUAUGAAUUGAUUUUGAAAUGGUUGUUUGAUAUUGUGUUGGCUGCUUCA